rnacentral:rRNA from 1 species
GGCCUGCGGAAGGAUCAUUAAUUAUGUUAAAGCGCCUUACCUUAGGGUUUCCUCUGGGGUAAGUGAUUGCUUCUACACUGUGAAAAUUUGGCUGAAAGACUCAGACUGGUCAUGGGUAGACCUAUCUGGGGUUUGAUCGAUGCCACUCCUGGUUUCAGGAGUACCCUUCAUAAUAAACCUAGAAAUUCAGUAUUAUAAAGUUUAAUAAAAAACAACUUUUAACAAUGGAUCUCUUGGUUCUCGCAUCGAUGAAGAACGUAGCAAAGUGCGAUAACUAGUGUGAAUUGCAUAUUCAGUGAAUCAUCGAGUCUUUGAACGCAGCUUGCACUCUAUGGUUUUUCUAUAGAGUACGCCUGCUUCAGUAUCAUCACAAACCCACACAUAACAUUUGUUUAUGUGGUGAUGGGUCGCAUCGCUGUUUUAUUACAGUGAGCACCUAAAAUGUGUGUGAUUUUCUGUCUGGCUUGCUAGGCAGGAAUAUUACGCUGGUCUCAGGAUCUUUUUUUUUGGUUCGCCCAGGAAGUAAAGUACAAGAGUAUAAUCCAGUAACUUUCAAACUAUGAUCUGAAGUCAGGUGGGAUUACCCGCUGAACUUAAGCAUAUAU